GGAGUUAGCCGGUGCUUCUUCUGCGAGUAACGUCACAGAUGUAAGGUAUUAACUUACACCCUUUCCUCCUCGCUGAAAGUGCUUUACAACCCGAAGGCCUUCUUCACACACGCGGCAUGGCUGCAUCAGGGUUUCCCCCAUUGUGCAAUAUUCCCCACUGCUGCCUCCCGUAGGAGUCUGGGCCGUGUCUCAGUCCCAGUGUGGCUGAUCAUCCUCUCAGACCAGCUAGGGAUCGUCGCCUAGGUGAGCCUUUACCUCACCUACUAGCUAAUCCCACCUGGGCUUAUCCAUCAGCGCAAGGCCCGAAGGUCCCCUGCUUUCCCCCGUAGGGCGUAUGCGGUAUUAGCAGUCGUUUCCAACUGUUAUCCCCCACAACUGGGCAAAUUCCCAGGCAUUACUCACCCGUCCGCCGCUCGUCAUCUUCAAAGCAAGCUUUUGAAAUGUUACCGCUCGACUUGCAUGUGUUAGGCCUGCCGCCAGCGUUCAAUCUGAGCCAUGAUCAAACUCUGA
rnacentral:rRNA from 1 species